rnacentral:misc_RNA from 1 species
AUUGGAGUUUUCAUUCCGCGUUGGAUGGAUGUUCAAAUUUUUAAAUUUGUUACCCUUUCAAAGGAUUAUAGCAUCGGACUAUGGGAGAAAUGUGACACCCUUAAGGAAAAAUGCUCCGUGCGCCUGGAUUCAUCGCUAAAAGACUUCGAGUUCACGGUGCGGGCCUUUGCCGUGUCGGGACUGAUAGUGUCCGUCAUAGCUUCCGUCCUGAUCGUCCUCUGUGUGUUUGUACCCAGGUUCUCAGAGCGCACCUUGUUCCACGUGUUGACCUCAGGUACCUGUUACCUGGCAGCCACCCUGUCCCUUGCCAGCAUCACCAUUUUCGCCAAUGAGAACAAAAUAACGAGGGCGUACACGCUGUCAUAUUCGUUCUACCUUAUUCUGUUUGGAGCGUUUUUCUGCAUUCUGUCGUCUGCCGUUUUGAUUAACGUAUAUGUGUACAGAAAAUGGAAAAAUGAACAUCGCAUGAUGAAAAUUUCCCGGCGAGAUUUAAGAGUGGCACAGCCGGUACACCGCGGACGUACCAGUGAUUACGGUGAUGAUGACCAGGAUGAUGUACCCAGCGAGAAGAGGCAGUACAGCGACGACGACCGGUCCAGAUACAGCGAAGACAUGUCUAAACACAGCGAAGACAUGUCUAAACACAGCGAAGACUUCUCCACGAAGCAGAGCGAGAUCUGAGCGAGACCUACAGUGUGACAUCGAAGACGCUGCAUUGCGUCAUUGCAGGGGUCUCCAUGCUGUGAGAGAAUAUGUCGUCUCAAUAUUGACCAAUAUAAGUACACGGUUAUAUGAUAUAUAUCUGGACCAAAAAUACCUCAGUAUUACACGGGAAGUAUUGAAAAGAGAAUAUGUAUAUCUGUGUAAUAAAGGACACCGGUUCUUGUGUAUUGUAUCAAUCUGGUUACACUGUAUCAUCGGCAUAUCGUGGACACAAGUUUGCCCAUUCAUUCUCCGUGUAUUCAAACAAUGUCUCUCAUAUAUCGCACGUGUUUAAUAUUUAAGACAUGUAUAUAUAAUCAUUGCUAGGGAUCCAUAACCCAUUUCCUCAUGCAGUAUAUUCUUGUAUAGUGCUCAUAUUCAAUACAAGGGGAAAUUUUGUCACUCCUUAAUUGGCUUUUGAAAUGGCAGACCUAAAGGUGUAAAUACAAAUCUAUUGUACAGUAUGUGUUAAACAGUAAGGUAUUUCGUCAAUCAAAUUGCUACAUCUUGUGCAGAAUUCAAUGUUUCUGAGGUAUGUGUGCUGAACAUGAAUGUCUAAUUAUCUGUAAAUAUAGCUCUGAAUGUGUAAUUUUUUAAAUUAUAUACAUGUAAAUGCAUUAUGAUUAGUUUCACUUGUACAUGUAUUUUCCUAGUGACAAGAAACUUGAUAUCGCCUUCUUUUAAAAUUUUUAUUGUUAUUUUUAGAAAUGUGUUGCACUUGUAGAACUGCACACGAUUUAAGGAGAGUAUAACUUCACUUUAAAAUAUUAUAUUAACAUUAUAUACUUCAGUAUUUGUUUUAUUGAUGAGAAAUAAUAAAAACAAGCAAAUACCUUC